AACAGAAUUGUAUAGGGUGUAAUCCAAAACUUUUGUGCGGAUCAGGUGUUUGUGCUCGAUUUCCCUCCCCGGCUGGCGAGUGAAUUGGCACCGCAACAAUUCCUUCGAGAGGAGUUUCGUCGCGUUGCAGCAAAGAACGAUGUAAAGUACUGCGUCAUAGCUGACCGCUUUCCGCUGGACUCACGUGCCUUGUGGAGUCGUGAUGGGAUCCACCUGAGUGACGAUCUGGGGAUGCCGCUUCUCGCGAAGCUUCUGUGGCACUUCUCCUUUCAGCAGCUACAGUCACCUCUGCCUGUUACACCUCCGCCUGUGUCUCCUCCCAAGUCACCCCCGACUGUGAGACCCUUUGCUACCACCGUGGUUGUGAAGGGAGAGGUUCCACGUCCACGUCCCCUUGACCCCUUCAAGGAAACUGUCGUCGGACGUCGCGGAAAGGUAAAAGUUAUACAAUUUUGAAGAGCUUUAGUUUUAGUUAGGCCACAUUUAUUGAAUACUAAUUCCCCCUAUGUGUUUAUAGCGCAGCCAACCUGAGUCCUGGGAUGCGCCUGAGGACUGGGAUCAGUCUUCCGUGCGGAUCCUUCCUCAUGAGGUUUGUACAUUGGUAUGAUAGCUGAUAGGAAAUUAAACCGUAAUGAUGCGUACAUUUGUUGUUUCAUUUAAA